rnacentral:rRNA from 1 species
GCGAACGCUGGCGGCAGGCCUAACACAUGCAAGUCGCACGAACUCUUCGGAGUUAGUGGCGGACGGGUGAGUAACACGUGGGAACGUGCCUUUUGGUUCGGAAUAACUCAGGGAAACUUGUGCUAAUACCGAAUGUGCCCUUCGGGGGAAAGAUUUAUCGCCAUUAGAGCGGCCCGCGUCUGAUUAGCUAGUUGGUGAGGUAACGGCUCACCAAGGCGACGAUCAGUAGCUGGUCUGAGAGGAUGACCAGCCACACUGGGACUGAGACACGGCCCAGACUCCUACGGGAGGCAGCAGUGGGGAAUCUUGCGCAAUGGGCGAAAGCCUGACGCAGCCAUGCCGCGUGAAUGAUGAAGGUCUUAGGAUUGUAAAAUUCUUUCACCGGGGACGAUAAUGACGGUACCCGGAGAAGAAGCCCCGGCUAACUUCG